rnacentral:tRNA from 1 species
GUUAAGAUAGUUAAAUUAAUAACGGAACUUUGAAGUGGUUUUAUUGGGGGUUAGAUUCCUUCUCUUAGCA